CCCUUAGAGUUUGAUCAUGGCUCAGAACGAACGCUGGCGGCAGGCUUAACACAUGCAAGUCGAGCGCAAUACUACCUUCGGGUAGUGGAGAGCGGCGGACGGGUGAGUAACGCGUGGGAACCUACCCUUUGGUUCGGAAUAACUUUGGGAAACCGAAGCUAAUACCGGAUACGCCCCGUAAGGGGGAAAGAUUUAUUGCCGAAGGAAGGGCCCGCGUUGGAUUAGGUAGUUGGUGGGGUAAUGGCCUACCAAGCCUACGAUCCAUAGCUGUUCUGAGAGGAAGAUCAGCCACACUGGGACUGAGACACGGCCCAGACUCCUACGGGAGGCAGCAGUGGGGAAUCUUAGACAAUGGGCGCAAGCCUGAUCUAGCCAUGCCGCGUGAGUGAUGAAGGCCUUAGGGUCGUAAAGCUCUUUCGCUGGGGAAGAUAAUGACUGUACCCAGUAAAGAAACCCCGGCUAACUCCGUGCCAGCAGCCGCGGUAAUACGUAGGGUCCGAGCGUUGUCCGGAAUUAUUGGGCGUAAAGGGCUCGUAGGCGGUUUGUCGCGUCGGGAGUGAAAACUCAGGGCUCAACCCUGAGCGUGCUUCCGAUACGGGCAGACUAGAGGUAUGCAGGGGAGAACGGAAUUCCUGGUGUAGCGGUGGAAUGCGCAGAUAUCAGGAGGAACACCGGUGGCGAAGGCGGUUCUCUGGGCAUUACCUGACGCUGAGGAGCGAAAGCAUGGGGAGCGAACAGGAUUAGAUACCCUGGUAGUCCAUGCCGUAAACGUUGGGCGCUAGGUGUGGGGACCUUCCACGGUCUCCGUGCCGCAGCUAACGCAUUAAGCGCCCCGCCUGGGGAGUACGGCCGCAAGGCUAAAACUCAAAGGAAUUGACGGGGGCCCGCACAAGCGGCGGAGCAUGCUGAUUAAUUCGAUGCAACGCGAAGAACCUUACCUGGAUUUGACAUAUACCGGAAAGCUGCAGAGAUGUAGCCCCCCUUGUGGUCGGUAUACAGGUGGUGCAUGGCUGUCGUCAGCUCGUGUCGUGAGAUGUUGGGUUAAGUCCCGCAACGAGCGCAACCCUCGUCCUAUGUUGCCAGCACGUAAUGGUGGGGACUCAUAGGAGACUGCCGGGGUCAACUCGGAGGAAGGUGGGGAUGACGUCAAGUCUUCAUGCCCCUUAUGUCCAGGGCUUCAAGCAUGCUACAAUGGCCGGUACAAAGGG
rnacentral:rRNA from 1 species